rnacentral:lncRNA from 1 species
UUAGCUUCAAAUCAAAAUCAAAUCCAAUUGUUUCUGAUUCUCCUUUAAAAACAACAGAAAUGAAUGCUAAACCAAGCUGAUGAGAAACUAGUGCUAGAUGAUCAACAGUAUCAACACGAGUUAAACCAAACACAUUGAGAUCUACUAGAACUUUCCAUUACAGUAUCAGCACUAGUUAAACCAAACUAAAUUGCUACACACAUGGAAUACAUCUAAUUAAUCUGACAUUAUACUACUUAACAAUCCAAUCCAGAAUUAUUACAGAAUUCGAGCACAAUAAACCAUCAAAUAUGGCAGGGCCAUUAAAACACAAAGCCACAGUGGGAAGUUAUCCUUAAUUUCAUUUCAUAUUUCAAUAGAUGAAGCUACAUCAAUGGAGUUUCGACAUGUGUACCUGAAUGUAAAAAUACAAGAAGAAUAAGAAGAAGAUCAGUUAUAAUAGUAGAUUCUAGCAGAAUAAUUUGCAAACAGCAGGCAACACAGCAAGUUCAGCCCAGAAAUGAGUUCAACAAUUGAAGAUAAGUUGAAGACCAAGCAAAAUCCACUACUAAACCCAAAAUAGCACAAAAUAGCCCACAACAAACUGACUGAAUCCUCAAAAAUUGCUCGGAAUCAAACAAAAACUACCAUGAACCUUCAGUUACAAGAAAUCGAGCUAGAAAUGCUACUCAACUAAAUGAAACUAGAAAUUGGCUGAGAGAAGCAAUGUAAUAGUACCUUUUUUGGUUUUUGAAGAGUUUUUGUUUUUUUUGUUUUUGUUUUCUUCUAAGAAACUAAAUAUAGCCAGAAUUUAGCUAAAAUGGAAAGCUGGAUCAGAUCUAAGAAAAACUUUAAAAUGGAGAAUUUAGGAGGUAAUAAUGGCUGAAAAGAGAAGACCCCUAGCAAGGCUGUUUCU